rnacentral:rRNA from 2 species
GGGCCCGCACAAGCAGUGGAGUAUGUGGUUUAAUUCGAAGCAACGCGAAGAACCUUACCAGGUCUUGACAUGGGGAUGACCGGUAUAGAGAUAUACCUUUCCUUCGGGACAUCCCACACAGGUGGUGCAUGGUUGUCGUCAGCUCGUGUCGUGAGAUGUUGGGUUAAGUCCCGCAACGAGCGCAACCCUUAUGAUUAGUUGCUACGCAAGAGCACUCUAGUCAGACUGCCGUUGACAAAACGGAGGAAGGUGGGGAUGAUGUCAAAUCAUCAUGCCCCUUAUGACCUGGGCCACACACGUACUACAAUGGCCGCUAACAACGGGAAGCAAAACAGCAAUGUGGAGCAAAACCCCAAAAGCGGUCUCAGUUCGGAUUGCAGGCUGAAACUCGCCUGCAUGAAGUUGGAAUUGCUAGUAAUCGCGGAUCAGCAUGCCGCGGUGAAUACG